rnacentral:rRNA from 1 species
CCCUUAGAUGUUCUGGGCCGCACGCGCGCUACACUGACAGAGCCAACGAGUUCUUCACCUUGGCCGGAAGGUCUGGGUAAUCUUGUUAAGCUCUGUCGUGCUGGGGAUAGAGCAUUGCAAUUAUUGCUCUUCAACGAGGAAUGCCUAGUAAGCGCGUGUCAUCAGCACGCGUUGAUUACGUCCCUGCCCUUUGUACACACCGCCCGUCGCUACUACCGAUUGAAUGGCUCAGUGAGGCCUUCGGACUGGCUCAGGGAGGUUGGCAACGACCACCCCGAGCCGGAAAGUUCGUCAAACUCGGUCAUUUAGAGGAAGUAAAAGUCGUAACA